rnacentral:rRNA from 1 species
GAUGAACGCUGGCGGCGUGCCUAAUACAUGCAAGUCGAGCGGACAGACGAUGAGCUUGCUCCUCUGACGUUAGCGGCGGACGGGUGAGUAACACGUGUAUAACCUACCUAUAAUUCUGGUAUAACUUCGGGACACCGGCGUUAAUACCGUAUAAUCUAUUGCACCGCGUUGUUCAAUGGUGAAAUACGGUUUUUCUGGCUCUUAUAGAUGCAUCCCCGCCGCAUUAGCUAGUUGGUAAGGUAACGGCCUACCAAGGCAACGAUGCGUAGCCGAGCUGAGAGGCUGAUAGGCCGCCCUGGAGCUUGGCCACGGACCAGACGACUAAGGGAGGCAGCAGUAGGGAAUCGUACGCAAUGGGCGAAAGCCUGACGGAGCAGCGCCGCGCGAGUGAUGAAGGCCUUCGGAUCGUAAAACUCUGUUACUAGGGAAGAACAAAUGUGGAAGUAAAUAUGCACGUCUUGACGGUAACUAAUCAGAAAGCCACGGCUAACUACGUG